GAUGAACGCUAGCGAUAGGCCUAACACAUGCAAGUCGAGGGGCAGCACAUGACGUAGCAAUACAGAUGGUGGCGACCGGCGCACGGGUGAGUAACACGUAUGCAACCUACCUUCUACAGGAGGAUAACCCGUUGAAAGACGGGCUAAUACUCCAUAACACAGGGGUCCCGCAUGGGAAUAUUUGUUAAAGAUUUUUUCGGUAGAAGAUGGGCAUGCGUUCCAUUAGCUAGUUGGUUGAGGUAACGGCUCACCAAGGCAACGAUGGAUAGGGGAACUGAGAGGUUUAUCCCCCACACUGGUACUGAGACACGGACCAGACUCCUACGGGAGGCAGCAGUGAGGAAUAUUGGUCAAUGGAGGCAACUCUGAACCAGCCACGUCGCGUGAAGGAUGACGGCCCUACGGGUUGUAAACUUCUUUUAUACAGGAAUAAAGUGAGUCACGUGUGAUUUUUUGCAUGUACUGUAUGAAUAAGGAUCGGC
rnacentral:rRNA from 1 species